CAACCAUACUUUGAAACACCCACUCGAAUUAAUCAGCAAAAAAUUCAUCCCCAUAUCGAAGAUUCAAGUUUUCUUUACUAGGUGGUACAUACAUUCGACUUGUAAAAAGUUAAGAGAAAAAGACAAAUAGUUCUGGAAAAAUUUGAUAUAUUCCACCAGUAAUGCGCUAAAAGACUUUGCAGAAUCUUUGCUCCUUAGUUUUCUGUUUUAGUAAACCUCAUUCAAUUAAUUCUACAACUUUGAAGAUGUGUAGGAAGUUUAGGAACAAGAAGAUCCAGAUUUUCUCAAGUAUCCAACGCCACCCGUGUUAGAGUUUGUUCCACUAUACCUAUCUGUAAUGGCUCCAUAAAAGUACAUAGGAGCACUCAACAUUGGUUUUCAACUGUCCAUCAUAAUUGGUAUACUUGGAGCCCAUGUCUUGAACUAUUUCUUUGCCAAGAUUCAUGGGGGGUGAAGAUUAAGCUUAGGAGGUACCAUGCUACCUGUAUUAAUCAUCACAGUAGGCUCAUUGUUCCUCCCCGAGACCUAAAUUCCAUAAUAGAACGUGAUAAUCACAACAAAGCCAAGUUUAAGCUGAAGAGAAUCAGGGGAAGUGAAGAUAUAGAUGAAGAGUUCAAUGAUUUAGUUAUGGCAAAUGAAAUCUCUAGGAAAAUAGAACACCCUUGGAGGAAUUUGUUGCAAAAGAAAUAUACGCCACAUCUCACCAUGGCAAUUAUAAUUCCAUUAUUCUAGCAACUUACUGGAAUCAAUGUGAUUAUGUUCUAUGAAUCAGUGUUGUUUAAGACUAUUGGUUUUGGUGCUGAUACUUCAGCUUUGUCUAUUGUUAUCACUGGUGGAGUCAAUAUCAUUGCCACUGUAGUUUCUAUUUACUACUAUAUAUGUUGAUAAAUUGGGAAGGAGAUUCUUGUUUCUUCAAGUGGGAUUUCAAAUGCACUUUUGCCAAGUAAGUUAAUUUUAUUCAUUUCAUGUUCUUGGAAUUUUUCAUGGUGAAACUUUCGUUGGUUCUAUUACAUGACUGAUCCCCUCUAUUUGACA